ensembl:misc_RNA predicted gene, 27798
AGUGAGAUAACUGUUCGUUUGCCCACAUCUCCUUUUGAGAUAUUCAUGGAAACAUUAACUCCUCAGAAUCC